CGACGUAUCGGAUUAUUGGGCGUAAGAGCUCGUAGGCGGUUUGUCGCGUCUGUCGUGAAAGUCCGGGGCUUAACCCCGGAUCUGCGGUGGGUACGGGCAGACUAGAGUGCAGUAGGGGAGACUGGAAUUCCUGGUGUAGCGGUGGAAUGCGCAGAUAUCAGGAGGAACACCGAUGGCGAAGGCAGGUCUCUGGGCUGUAACUGACGCUGAGGAGCGAAAGCAUGGGGAGCGAACAGGAUUAGAUACCCUGGUAGUCCAUGCCGUAAACGUUGGGCACUAGGUGUGGGGAACAUUCCACGUUUUCCGCGCCGCAGCUAACGCAUUAAGUGCCCCGCCUGGGGAGUACGGCCGCAAGGCUAAAACUCAAAUGAAAUUGACGGA
rnacentral:rRNA from 1 species